UCCCUGGUGGUCUAAUGGUUAGGACUCAGUGCUUUCACUGCUGGGGCCCAGGUUCAAUCCCUGGUCUGGGAA
rnacentral:tRNA from 2 species